rnacentral:rRNA from 1 species
UAGCUGCAUUAUUUGACGUUAGCGACAGAAGAAGCACCGGCUAACUCCGUGCCAGCAGCCGCGGUAAUACGGAGGGUGCGAGCGUUAAUCGGAAUUACUGGGCGUAAAAGCGCAUGCAGGUGGUUUGUUAAGUCAGAUGUGAAAAGCCCGGGCUCAAACCUCGGAAAUAGCAUUUGAAAACUGGCAGACUAGAGUACUGUAGAGGGGGUAGAAUUUCAGGUGUAGCGGUGAAAAUGCGUAGAGAUCUGAAGGAAUACCGGUGGCGAAGGCGGCCCCUGGACAGAUACUGACACUCAGAUGCGAAAGCGUGGGGAGCAAACAGGAUUAGAUACCCUGGUAG